GCUUGUCUCAAAGAUUAAGCCAUGCAUGUCUAAGUAUAAACAAAUCUAUACUGUGAAACUGCGAAUGGCUCAUUAUAUCAGUUAUAAUAUACUAGAUAGUUUCUCUACUUGGAUAACCGUAGUAAUUCUAGAGCUAAUACAUGACCAGAGGCGCGCCCGCGCCGCAUUUAUUAGAUACAACCAGCCCUCCGGGCCUUGGCGAGUCAUAAUAACUGAGCUGACCGUAUUCGUACGGCGUUUCUUAUUAAUUUCUGCCCUAUCAGCUUUCGAUGGUAGGGUAUUGGCCUACCAUGGCGUUAACGGGUAACGGAGAAUUAGGGUUCGAUUCCGGAGAGGGAGCCUGAGAGAUGGCUACCACAUCCAAGGAAGGCAGCAGG
rnacentral:rRNA from 1 species